UGGGUAACCUGCCUCAAAGAGGGGAAUAGCCUCCCGAAAGGGAGAUUAAUACCGCAUAAUAUGUUUAAGUCGCAUGACUUUAACAUCAAAGGAUUUUCUUUUAGAACUUCCACUUUGAGAUGGACCCGCGGCGCAUUAGCUAGUUGGUGAGGUAACGGCUCACCAAGGCAACGAUGCGUAGCCGACCUGAGAGGGUGAUCGGCCACAUUGGAACUGAGACACGGCCCAGACUCCUAGGGAG
rnacentral:rRNA from 1 species